CACACACACACACACACACACACACACACGUAUUUCCUCAAAGGAAUUGUAGGAAAGGACCACAGUAAUGUGAAUUCCGUUUUUUUCCACCUCUGUUUGAUACUGUGGCUUUAAGUAAUAGCUGAUAUACCAUGCAAAAACGUAAAAAUAAGUUGGAAACAUAAUUGAUCACUUUAGACAGGAAAAAAUAAAUCCACUUUCCAUUAUAUUUCUGAGUUUUAGAAUUUAAUUCUUCAUUGUCUAUCUGGAAAUAGUUGCAGAAUCCUCAGAAAAUAUCACUUAUAGAAGGGUAUUAAUAUAAGAAAUACAACUUCCUUGUGCAAAGGCUCUUAAAGUUACUAAAGGGCGUCUAAGUAUGCAAAUCGUCUUAGAAUGCAGGGUAAUGGUCAUUUGAAGACAUUUGAAUACUUUCAUCCACUGUGACUCUGAGUUAGGAAGUAGACAGUGGGGGUUAAGGAAAGAUUGAGUAUUAUCUUGAUUGGAAUUUCAAGACAGGAAAGUCUAAUCCCUUUCUUGUAAAAGACAUCUCGAUGGAUUUCAACUAACCUUGAGAAACGAAUCAGAAUACCUACUCAAACCAGAGCUAAAGAGAAAGUGUUUUUUUUUUUUUUCUUUCUAAAAACCAGGUGUUGAGCUCCUUGGUAACCCAAUACUGGGUGCGCGCGCGCAGAGUGGCCAGACCCCUCUCCACGCAGCUCUGGCUCUUUUUAAUUCGGCAAGUGCACUCACAGCAGAACUGCCACCAGUAUAACGUCUUGACGAUGGGCUCCAGGGUUUGACACUCCGCAGCGCCACCAGCUCUGUUUUCUCCCCAAGUAAGCCACUCUACCUCGCGAGCAGCAGAUCGCCCUGUGCGCGCUACAAUCCGUGGGGCGGGGAGACCUGGCGCUCACCCAGCGAGCUCGACUGGUGCUGACGUCCAUUCAGGCCUUUAAAUGUCUCUGUCCCUGCGCAGGAGGGAACGGACUUUGUAGCAGUCACUUUGCCCGAAGGGCGACGCGUCUCUGCUUUUGCAGGCGGCAGCUCGGACUCCCCUCACUCUUCCCAGCGUUGCGUUUGCCUCUGUCUUUGCCUCGAGUUCCCCGCAGCCUCUCCAGCGGGAGGCGCUUUUGGUAUUCGUACCCUGGGCAUGAACCAACAGGACUCCCCAUGCCCUGUGCUUUUUCAGUGGGUUCGAAGAUCAGAGAUUGCGAGGUGCUCUGGGUGAUCGCUCAAGGAGCAGGGAGCUUCCUCCCCCUGAUUUUGGUAGGGGGUGAUUUUUUUUUUACCCCGAAAAGCGUCCUCCCCGCUCCUGAAGCUGCAACUUGUUUUGGUUUCUUCUCAGUCCUGUGUGUGGUUACAACAUCAAAGUUUUUCUCCCUUACCCUUCCAAAAAUCUAUCCUUUUAAUCCACCCUCCUCCCCCCGCGCUAUCUCCGCCAGGCCUUCUCGCUGUGCGGUGAGUGGAUAGCGGGCGCGCAGUGUGGCAGUGGCGGCGAAGAUUGGCGCUAUCAGGAGGAGCAAAAGGGAAGGAUCUGCUGCUGGGGGCUCGCUGGGUGACCCUUUGCCAGACGAAAAGAGCUGGUCGAGAGAGAAGCGCUUGGCAGGAGCUCUCUGCGGGACCUAAGCUCCGUGGCUGCUCGGGAUCCCUACGUCCGCUGCUGCUGAAGGAGCAGAGGGGAGGACGCCAGCGGUUGCUUACUGGAGCCUGGAGGAAAAUGGAAACAUCAUUCCCUAGAAACAGUUGAAGUUGACAGACCUAGAGGUUGACAAAAGGACACGACACUAGGGAAUUUGCAUUGUCAUGUUUCGAAAUACCAUUCCAAAGACCUGCAAAUAAGAACAUAGCGACUGGAAGAAGUAUCUCGAUGGAGCCCAAAAAGCUGAGUUACAGAGACUGAAAGCAAAGGUAGUUACACAUCUCCAUUGGAUUGUUACACAUCUCAUUCCAUCAGAUGGGUGUGGGGAGGUGAAUGACAAGAAGAUGGUGCAAAAAGGAAUUUAAGAAAUAAAAAUCCAUGAAAACAGACAUAAGGGAAAGAUUCAGCAUGGUCUCUACAAUAAUCAUCACUUUAUAUUCAUCAUGGCAUUGCCAGUAUUUAUGAAUAUGGACAUGUUUGAAUGCAGUUAUUAACAGGGAAUGUAUACUAUUUGUCUUCAACUUUAAAAUUUUGACAGCUGGCAGGCGCGGUGGCUCACGCCUGUAAUCCCAGCACUUUGGGAGGCCGAGGCGGGAGGAUCACGAGGUCAGGAGAUCGAGACCAUCCUGGCUAACAUGGUGAAACCCCGUCUCUACUAAAAAUGCAAAAAAUUAGCUGGGCGUGGUGGUGGGCGCCUGUAGUCCCAGCUACUCCGGAGGCUGAGGCAGGAGAAUGGCGUGAACCCAGGAGGCGGAGCUUGCAGUGAGCCCAGACAGCGCCGCUGCACUCCCGCCUGGGCGAAAGAGCAAGACUCCAUCUCAAAAAAAAAAAAGAAAAUUUUUUUGACAGCUUAUUUUGUUUAUUACCACUUUUUAAUAUGUUUCAUAAUUAGUACUUCAAGAGCUAUAUAACUAUCCUUAAAAUUAUGUAAUGAAAUUUAUAUAUCCAUUUUUCUAUAGUUGAUAGAUUUAAUGAUUCAUUUUUAAACUGUAUUAUGUGACUUUUAAAAUUUUUUAAUAAAAUUCUAAUCAUCAAUGUUUAAAUGUUUUAAAUGUUAAUGUUUUCAAUGUUCAAAAUCUUUCUAAAGCACCUAAUACAAUCUCUUUCCGUCGUAAAGUAAACUAAACCUAAUUUCAUGUAUCUAUGAUUGACAGCUAUGAUUUAAAGAGCAACUCCUGUGUAUCAGACUUUGUGGUAGACAGUUUACAUUUCCUCUCUCAUGUAACAGACCACUCUGUAUGAGCAGUGUGUCUAGUCCACAUGCACCUCUGUGAAUUUUAGAGAAAGCAUCUUUAGACAAAUGAAUAGUGGAUAGCAUGGUGUUGCCUUUGUGGAAAGAAAAAAAACGGUGCCUCUUCCUCAGACCCACCCCUAAGCCAGAGCACAAAGGCUCACAAGCUUUUGUCAUUUGGUUACAUGGCACUUUAUCCCACUCCUCCCCAGCCACCUUAACUCAAGACCUUGAUUAAGGGUGGUAAAAUGCAAGUUCAGAAAGUUAAGCGUCUUAAACCAGGAUUCUACAAAUAUAUUAAAAUUAGAAACUAUCUGUCAAAAAAUAGGUAUUUUGUUAAAGAAAAUAUACAUAUACAUGCAAUGAAACAUAGAUGAUAAUUUAAACCUAUAUGUGUUUAUAGAAGUGAAUGUUCACGAUAUAUUUUAAGAGAAAAAAGGAAGUUAAAUGUCAUAUUCAGAGUAGGAUUCAAGUGGACUUUACAAUGCAGGGGAGGUGACAGAAUAUUAUGCAACACUUUUUUCAAAGAAAAUAUCAUCUCUAGUAGUAAAUAUUACAGUGACUCCAUUUUGCUUACUGUGUUUUCAAACUGGUUAAAACUUAACCUUUAUUCAUCCCGAAGUAAAUAUUGCAUUUUCACAUUUCAUUAAAUAUGUUGUUCUGAAAACUAGAUAUUGUAAUUUACUUUUGAAAAUGAAAAUCAGCUGUUGUCAUUGACAAGUGUUCAAUUAGUAAUAAUUGAAUUGCUCUGAGAAGAUGAGGAAGGGAUAAAAUUUUCUGUUUUCUA
rnacentral:lncRNA from 1 species